GGGUCAGUAGGUUGGUCGUGCCACCGGUACGUACUGGUCUCACUGAUUCCUCCUUCCUGAAGAACCGUAAUGCCAUUAAUUUGGUGUUGCGGGGAAACAGGACUGUUACUUUGAAAAAAUUAGAGUGUUUAGAGCAAGCUAACGCUUGAAUACAUUAGCAUGGAAUAAUGAAAUAGGACGAUCGAUCCUAUUUUGUUGGUUUCUAGGAUUGACGUA
rnacentral:rRNA from 1 species